GGUGAGAAAACUGAUAUUAAAGCUUUGCAGGGUUUUGAUUGGCAUUUCGGGUGAUAAAUAUCUAUCGGGACAUCACGACGGUUGUCACGGGCUCGAGGAGAGUACCGAGUCGUGACAUUCGAGAGUAGGCCGGUUGUCACUUCGGUUAAGUGUGAUCCUCGUGCACGAGAUUAAAAGUGAUUGGGCUUAAUUUUGAAAAGUAAGGUAUUGAAAGACCUAGAAUCUGCUUGCAUAUGCUUCAGUAUUUUAGCCAUAUAUCGAGGUACAGAACUCCAAAUGAUACAAUUCUAGAAUCAAUGGAAAGCUAAGAGACAGAGCUACAACUUUUAUGCAGAUCACUUUGCCCGGUUCUGCCUCUAAGAUAGAGAAAAUCGCGUCGGAAAAUGGCUGGAUGUACUGUGCCCGGAAUGAAAAUUUGUAAAGACUGAUAAUUGAUUUUUGAGCCUUUUAUUACACUUUUAAGCCCAAUUAAACCCUAGGUCAGCUUAAGGAACUUUAGGUUUAGUCUAUUAGUAUAAAUAGGAUAUGUUUAAUAACAUUAGAAACAACUUUUGAGACAUUCAAGAAACUAGAAGUUGAGGCUGAAACUUGGAGAUCAAGUCGGCAAUAAUUGUUUUGGGUUCUUCCUUA